ACAACGGAGAGUUUGAUCCUGGCUCAGGAUGAACGCUGGCGGCGUGCUUAACACAUGCAAGUCGAACGAACCUUCGGGUUAGUGGCGGACGGGUGAGUAACGCGUGAGAAUCUGCCCUCAGGAGGGGGAUAACGGUUGGAAACGACCGCUAAUACCCCAUAUGCCGAUAGGUGAAAUGAAUUUCGCCUGAGGAUGAGCUCGCGUCUGAUUAGCUUGUUGGUGAGGUAAUGGCUCACCAAGGCUUCGAUCAGUAGCUGGUCUGAGAGGAUGAUCAGCCACACUGGGACUGAGACACGGCCCAGACUCCUACGGGAGGCAGCAGUGGGGAAUUUUCCGCAAUGGGCGAAAGCCUGACGGAGCAACGCCGCGUGAGGGACGAAGGCCUCUGGGCUGUAAACCUCUUUUCUCAAGGAAGAAGAUAUGACGGUACUUGAGGAAUAAGCCACGGCUAAUUCCGUGCCAGCAGCCGCGGUAAUACGGGAGUGGCAAGCGUUAUCCGGAAUUAUUGGGCGUAAAGCGUCCGCAGGCGGCCUUUCAAGUCUGCUGUUAAAGCGUGGAGCUUAACUCCAUCAUGGCAGUGGAAACUGAUCGGCUUGAGUAUGGUAGGGGCAGAGGGAAUUCCCGGUGUAGCGGUGAAAUGCGUAGAUAUCGGGAAGAACACCAGUGGCGAAGGCGCUCUGCUGGGCCAUUACUGACGCUCAUGGACGAAAGCCAGGGGAGCGAAAGGGAUUAGAUACCCCUGUAGUCCUGGCCGUAAACGAUGAACACUAGGUGUCGGGGGAAUCGACCCCUUCGGUGUCGUAGCUAACGCGUUAAGUGUUCCGCCUGGGGAGUACGCACGCAAGUGUGAAACUCAAAGGAAUUGACGGGGGCCCGCACAAGCGGUGGAGUAUGUGGUUUAAUUCGAUGCAACGCGAAGAACCUUACCAGGGUUUGACAUCCUGAGAACCUCUUAGAAAUUUGAGGGUGCCUUCGGGAAUUCAGUGACAGGUGGUGCAUGGCUGUCGUCAGCUCGUGUCGUGAGAUGUUGGGUUAAGUCCCGCAACGAGCGCAACCCACGUUUUUAGUUGCCAGCAUUUAGUUGGGCACUCUAGAAAGACCGCCGGUGAUAAACCGGAGGAAGGUGUGGAUGACGUCAAGUCAUCAUGCCCCUUACACCCUGGGCUACACACGUACUACAAUGCUACGGACAAAGGGCAGCAAACUCGCGAGAGCUAGCAAAUCCCAUAAACCGUGGCUCAGUUCAGAUCGUAGGCUGCAACUCGCCUACGUGAAGUAGGAAUCGCUAGUAAUCGCAGGUCAGCAUACUGCGGUGAAUACGUUCCCGGGCCUUGUACACACCGCCCGUCACACCAUGGAAGUUGGCCAUGCCCGAAGUCGUUACUCCAACCCUUGUGGAGGAGGACGCCGAAGGUGGGGCUAAUGACUGGGGUGAAGUCGUAACAAGGUAGCCGUACCGGAAGGUGCGGCUGGAUCACCUCCUAA
rnacentral:rRNA from 1 species